AGCAGCCGCGGUAAUUCCAGCUCCAAUAGCGUAUAUUAAAGUUGUUGCAGUUAAAAAGCUCGUAGUUGAAUUUCGGGAUCAGUACGCUGGUCAUGCCUUUGGUAUGCACUGGUGUCACUGGUUUCUCCCUUCUGAAGAACCGUGAUGUCAUUAAUUUGGUGUCGCGGGGAAUCAGGACUGUUACUUUGAAAAAAUUGAGUGUUUAAAGCAGGCUCACGCUUGAAUACAUUAGCAUGGAAUAAUGAAAUAGGACGUUUGACCCUAUUUUGUUGGUUUCUAGGACCGCCGUAAUGAUUAAUAGGGACAGUUGGGGGCAUCAGUAUUCAAUUGUCAGAGGUGAAAUUCUUGGAUUUAUUGAAGACUAACUACUGCGAAAGCAUUUGCCAAGGAUGUUUUCAUUAAUCAGUGAACGAAAGUUAGGGGAUCGAAGACGAUCAGAUACCGUCGUAGUCUUAACCGUAAACUAUGCCGACUAGGGAUCGGGGACGGUUGUUCUAUCUUCGACCCGCUCGGCACCGUU
rnacentral:rRNA from 1 species